rnacentral:tRNA from 1 species
GCGGAAGUAGUUCAGUGGUAGAACAUCACCUUGCCAUGGUGGGGGUCGCGGGUUCGAAUCCCGUUCGAAUCCCGUCUUCCGCU